rnacentral:rRNA from 1 species
CUACACGGGUUUCUAAUCCUGUUCGCUCCCCACGCUUUCGCUCCUCAGCGUCAGGUAAGGCCCAGAGAACCGCCUUCGCCACCGGUGUUCCUCCCGAUAUCUGCGCAUUUCACCGCUACACCGGGAAUUCCAUUCUCCCCUACCUACCUCUAGUCUGCCCGUAUCCACUGCAGGCUCGGGGUUAAGCCCCGAGUUUUCACAGCGGACGCAACAGACCGCCUACGAGCUCUUUACGCCCAAUAAUUCCGGACAACGCUUGCGCCCUACGUGUUACCGCGGCUGCUGGCAC